rnacentral:rRNA from 1 species
AUGCGGUAUGACGGUACCCUUUCGAAUAAGAGGUUGCUAACUCUGUGCCAGCAGCAGCGGUAAUACAGAGACCUCGAGCGUUAUCCGGAUUUACUGGGCGUAAAGCGUCUGUAGGGGGUUUGUUAAGUUCCAAGUAAAAUCUUAAGGCUCAACUUUAAGUUCGCUUGGAAAACUAAUAAACUGGAGUCCAGCAGAGGUGCAUGGAACUUGCGGUGUAGGAGUGAAAUCCGUUGAUAUCGCAAGGAACACCAAAGGCGAAGGCAUUGCACUGGGCUGGUACUGACCCUGAGAGACGAAAGCGUGGGGAGCAAAACGGAUUAGAUACCCGUGUAGUCCACGCCGUAAACGAUGGAUACUAGAUGUUCGGGGAUUCGACCCCCUGGGUGUCACAGCUAACGCGUUAAGUAUCCCGCCUGGGAAGUACGGCCGCAAGGCUAAAACUCAAAGGAAUAGACGGGGAUCCGCACAAGCGGUGGAGCGUCUGGUUUAAUUUGAUAGUAAGCAAUGGACCUCACCAAGGUUUGACAUCCUAUGACAACCCUGGAAACAGGGCUUCCUUCGGGCAUAGUGACAGGUGCUGCAUGGUCGUCGUCAGUUCGUGCCGUGAGGUGUUCCGUUAAGUCGGGAAACGAACGAAACCCCCGUCGCAUGUUACAAAUUUCAUGCGAGACUGCCCGGGUCAACCGGGAGGAAGGCGGGGAUGACGUCAGAUCAGCAUGGCCCUUAUACCUUGGGCUACACAGGCGCUACAAUGGCCGGUACAAAGGGUUGCAAAACCGCGAGGUGAAGCUAAUCCCAUAAAGCCGGUCCAAGUUCGGAUUGGAGGCUGCAACUCGCCUCCAUGAAGUUGGAAUCGCUAGUAAUCGUGGAUCAGCCAUACCACGGUGAAUACGUUCCCGGAUCUUGUACUCACCGCCCGUCA